GGGGGAUAUUGCACAAUGGGCGAAAGCCUGAUGCAGCGACGCCGCGUGAGGGAAGACGGUCUUCGGAUUGUAAACCUCUGUCUUUGGGGAAGAAAAUGACGGUACCCAAAGAGGAAGCUCCGGCUAACUACGUGCCAGCAGCCGCGGUAAUACGUAGGGAGCAAGCGUUGUCCGGAAUUACUGGGUGUAAAGGGAGCGUAGGCGGGAAGACAAGUUGGAAGUGAAAUCCAUGGGCUCAACCCAUGAACUGCUUUCAAAACUGUUUUUCUUGAGUAGUGCAGAGGUAGGCGGAAUUCCCGGUGUAGCGGUGGAAUGCGUAGAUAUCGGGAGGAACACCAGUGGCGAAGGCGGCCUACUGGGCACCAACUGACGCUGAGGCUCGAAAGUGUGGGUAGCAAACAGGAUUAGAUACCCUGGUAGUCCACACCGUAAACGAUGAUUACUAGGUGUUGGAGGAUUGACCCCUUCAGUGCCGCAGUUAACACAAUAAGUAAUCCACCUGGGGAGUACGACCGCAAGGUUGAAACUCAAAGGAAUUGACGGGGGCCCGCACAAGCAGUGGAGUAUGUGGUUUAAUUCGACGCAACGCGAAGAACCUUACCAAGUCUUGACAUCCUGCGACGGAUAUAGAAAUAUGUCUUUCCUUCGGGACGCAGAGACAGGUGGUGCAUGGUUGUCGUCAGCUCGUGUCGUGAGAUGUUGGGUUAAGUCCCGCAACGAGCGCAACCCUUAUGGUCAGUUACUACGCAAGAGGACUCUGGCCAGACUGCCGUUGACAAAACGGAGGAAGGUGGGGAUGACGUCAAAUCAUCAUGCCCUUUAUGACUUGGGCUACACACGUACUACAAUGGCGUUAAACAAAGAGAAGCAAGACCGCGAGGUGGAGCAAAACUCAGAAACAACGUCCCAGUUCGGACUGCAGGCUGCAACUCGCCUGCACGAAGUCGGAAUUGCUAGUAAUCGUGGAUCAGCAUGCCACGGUGAAUACGUUCCCG
rnacentral:rRNA from 1 species